GGCCCUUCCUGGCUCAGAACCCAGGGCUCCAUGGCUCCAGCUGUGAGGAAGUGCAUUGCUGAACUGACAAAGAAUCCAUCCUCAAAUAUUCCCGGACUUACUUAUUUUAAGAGCUUAUUAUUCUGCUUACUGCACAAUUCUGCAAGUUCUCCAACCAUCUUAUUUCUAGAGGAUUUAUGAUAAGUAGAAC
rnacentral:lncRNA from 1 species